UGGCGGACGGGUGAGUAACGCGUGGGUAACCUGCCCUGUACAGGGGGACAACAGUUAGAAAUGACUGCUAAUACCGCAUAAGCGCACAGGACCGCAUGGUCCGGUGUGAAAAACUCCGGUGGUACAGGAUGGACCCGCGUCUGAUUAGGUAGUUGGCGGGGUAACGGCCCACCAAGCCGACGAUCAGUAGCCGACCUGAGAGGGUGACCGGCCACAUUGGGACUGAGACACGGCCCAAACUCCUACGGGAGGCAGCAG
rnacentral:rRNA from 1 species